rnacentral:tRNA from 1 species
GAGGUUGUGGCUCAGUGGUAGAGUACUUGCCUAGCAUGUGUGAGGCCCUGGGUUUGAUUCUCAGCAUCA